GAUGAACGCUGGCGGCGUGCCUAAUACAUGCAAGUCGAGCGAACAGACGAGGAGCUUGCCCCUCUGACGUUAGCGGCGGACGGGUGAGUAACACGUGGAUAACCUACCUAUAAGACUGGGAUAACUUCGGGAAACCGGAGCUAAUACCGGAUAAUAUAUUGAACCGCAUGGUUCAAUAGUGAAAGACGGUUUUGCUGUCACUUAUAGAUGGAUCCGCGCCGCAUUAGCUAGUUGGUAAGGUAACGGCUUACCAAGGCAACGAUGCGUAGCCGACCUGAGAGGGUGAUCGGCCACACUGGAACUGAGACACGGUCCAGACUCCUACGGGAGGCAGCAGUAGGGAAUCUUCCGCAAUGGGCGAAAGCUUGGCGGAGCAACGCCGCGUGAGUGAUGAAGGUCUUCGGAUCGUAAAACUCUGUUAUUAGGGAAGAACAAAUGUGUAAGUAACUAUGCACGUCUUGACGGUACCUAAUCAGAAAGCCACGGCUAACUACGUG
rnacentral:rRNA from 1 species